UACGGAGGGAGCAAGCGUUACUCGGAAUUAUUGGGCGUAAAGGGCGCGUAGGCGAUCUGACAAGUCUGGUAGUGGAAAGCCCACAUGUUAACUGUGGAAGUGCGAUUAGAAACUGUUGGAUUUGAGUUCAGGAGAGGAAGGCAGAAUUCCCGGUGUAGCGGUGAAAUGCGUAGAGAUCGGGAGGAAUACCAGUGGCGAAGGCGGCCUUCGUGGACUGACACUGACGCUGAGGCGCGAAAGCCAGGGGAGCAAACGGG
rnacentral:rRNA from 1 species